UGAUCUAGGGAGAAAUGAGAGGUAUGCUUAAGUACAGUAACAGUCCCAGAGCAUUAACAAGCUGCGAACUCCAACAUUAGGCAGGGACUCCUUCAAAGUUUUAGGUUGAAAGAGGAAGAGCAGAAAUGCUGUUGCUCCUCUCCAACGGGACUAGCUGCACACAGGAAUAAACAAGACACUGCAUACAGGCAAACUUCAUGUGAAACUUUUACAAGACCUGGCACAUGGUUACUGUCGUAGAGGGAGGCCCAGACACCUCUUGUUUCUCCCCAGGGUUUUUCUGCUGGACAGGACAAGAUGUACCUCCCAGGGAGCUCAACAGUGUUUCACUCUGAUGUAUGGUGCUGGGGGAGGAUGCAGCCCCUCCUGAUCACAGGAACAUCUGGCUCAGCAUGGGCAAAUCGGAUCCCUCAAACUUAUCCAACUUCUGCGUGCAUGCCUGUACCAGUGCAUGCUCCGUGAGUGAUUACAUCUUCAAACAGGGAGCUGUGACCAGACCUGCACUUGGGAUGCAGAUAGCAAUACUGGAGUCUGGGGACUGCUCUACCAGGACUUGAAGACCUGGCUUUCUGACUAAGAUCUCUCCAAGCAGUUUCUGAGCCUGGCUGUAAAAGCACAGUGAAGCCUAGCGCAGCAGAGCCCAACGUGAUUGUCAGUUCCAGCAUGGGUCUAAUUCCUUUUAACAUUUCACACAGCUCUACUGGAAGCAGCAACACGGUGAGUCUGUGUCUAGGAAUGCACUCUGGUCUCCCACAUUCUCUAUAUGUUGCAUGCUGAAAAUGGGCCAGUGCUCAAAAUCCAGCGCUCCCCUGGUUAUCAGCACCACCCCACAACACACACAUACCUCUGGUGCAUCGCAGAGCCUCUCCCCUGCCCAGUAUCACCUACAGACAAAAGCUUUCCCCCACAGAACUGCUACCAUGGGCUGAACUCCCUCCAAGGGGGAUUCCACGUGACCUCAUAAAUCCCAACUUUUCAGACAAAACCUUUGAAGUUUUGAUCCACAGAUGUGAUAAGCAGCCAGCUAGUCUGUGAACGAAGCCAGCAGAUAAAGCCCAACUUCAAAGUAAUAAAAACCACCCAGACAGCCAAGCAACUGGGAAGGGAUUUUGCUUGAGACUUCCUUAAAGCCAAAGGACACAUAGUCCAAAUGUCUAUUUAAACAGGAAACAUCUUAUCAAAAUGAUUCUACUUUUGCAACAAGCCCUAGCAGCAGUCAGUAACUUACCUCUUCCUACACAGAGCUCUUGUUACUUCUUGCUUUUUGACUAUAUGACCUAUUUGAAAACAUAAUAGCCCUGAUAACAGGGCUCUAGAAAAGGUGUUAAUCUAUUCAUUAGUUCUAGACCUGAAUUCCUGCCAGAAUGAGUGUACUUCAGAAAUGCUGAUAAACAGGUGGUGGUGGUCAGACCUUUUCUGUGUAAUUUUACUGAUACUAUCUCUGAGAGCCAAAAUGCAAGGGAGCAUGAGCUGAAGUCAAAGAUAUCCAUACUUCUCUCCUGCAAAUGCUGACAGCAUCUCCACUACAAACACACAGCCACCACAGGGGUUUGCUUUCCUUAAUAUGGUUUGGAAUUGCAUAGUCAUUUUUGCCAGAGAUAAAAGCCUGAACACUGUAACUGGCAAAUGAAGGGGACAAGUAAAAACUUCAACAAACCCUUAACACGAAGUUUAUUGCAAAUUGAGUUGCAAAAUGUCAUAGAUGUUAUCAUUUUAUCCCCACAGAACGGCAUCAUAGCUGUUGUGAUAUUCAAGUCAUUAUGAUCUUUAGACAGUAGGGGUUAGGUUGCAUAUCUAGACACCCUAUUUACCAUGGUUCAUGCUGUCCACAGACAGAUUCAUCAACAGAAUAGCAUGGUUACAGACAGAUGCAUUGCUCAGCAUAUCUACAAGCCCUAAGAUAUACAAAUUUAUCCUGGCACAGGCAGGCACUUCAGUAUGUGUGUGGGAUUGGUAUAAGCUGGGGAAAGGCAUCUGCUUGAUGCCUCAGGAGGCCGCAGCAAGUCUUUGUUUCAGCAUGGGUGCAGUUUGGAGGCAUUCCAGCUCCUUCAAUACAAUCCCAACACCUCAUUGUAUUUCCAAGGCACUUACACCUAACAUAUGCUUCACUGGUGUUGAAAGACAGAGUCAAGCUCCUGACAUCAGGUACUGAAACAAAUACUGUUUUGGUAUGCAUGUACCUCUGAGUGAAAGCUCUUGCAUGCAGCUCUUGAGUAAACUAAAACGACUAGUGAAGUGAAACUCAUCUUUGUCACAGCACCUUACUUCUAAACAGAGGCAGGGCUUUAGUCAGAGCGAUGCCACCUUAGUAUCCAACACCACUAAGCACAUUAGGACAGAGGGAGCACUUUUACCUCCAGCAUCCUUAGCUAAUGCCUGCAGGCUUACUGACUUCGUACAGGCUGAGAAGCAAAGUAAAGAAAUGCAGCCUACCGAAACUUCAUCGCUUAUACAUAUUUUUAGAAGCAGUGACUUCUGAUCCGUAAACACCUGACAGACGACUGUAAGACUGGCACUUACACCACUGCACCUUCACUUGCUUUCUAACUCACUGCUUUCGACUGCAGACUGCUAAACUUUUCAGGGGAAGGAUCCUGUCUUACUCAUCUGGAAAGCCCAGCACACACUGUGCUGUGUGAGUAAUUCUAAUUAUAUUGAUAUAAGAAUGCUCUGAUAACAAUGCCCUUAAGGACAAGGUGCACCAGUUAACUAAGAAGUUCAGACCGGAAUGCCCGGCUCCUUAAAUACAAACAGUUGUCAUCUAUGUGCUGUAGCUGAUAGAUUGGCCUGAGGAAUGUGACCAUGUCCACCUGCAGAGUGCUUCGCUGUUUCUUUGGAUUUUUAAGUCCUGAGCUUUUAUGGCCAUCUGUGUGCAAACAGGCACUUAGCAACUAUUUCUCCCUGUAUCAGAUAGUGAGCUGCUGAAUUUCAAUGCCCCAUGGAGACACCAUCAAAGAGGCAUUUCCAGGAAUCUGCGGGAUUAGUGGGGAAGAGCUUUCACUUCUGAUGCCCAAUAAGCUUUCUGUAACUGCCAGAAAUUAGAGAAGACAUGGAAAAAGAAAAGAUUCUUGUAUUCCUGCAUUUGCUACAUUUCACCUACAUUUUAUUACUACUCAUAUUUCCCCUGCUCUCAAAUUCAGCUGUUGCGUGUACAAACCUGCGUUCACAGCUGAAAAGUUCAAGGAAGAGUCAAAGUAGCAAAUAUCUCCACCUUUCCAGUGCAUCUUAAUAACACCUUUGUUUACAUCUUUAUCUGUCAACAUUUGUAGCUUCAUAUCCUGACACUCUAGAUCUAUUUUUCUAGUUGUCUGUGGGGGAAAAAGCAGCCCUUGGAAAAUGAAGGCCUGUACCAAUCUGAGCCAACAGAGGUGAACCAAAGGCCCAGAUCCAGGGCUGCUUCAGUCUAGCAGAGACUGACAGGUGACGUGAUUGCUGCUUACAAACUGGCAAAAAGAAGUUGAAGUUUAGCAGAUAUCCUAAGAACCACAGAAAAUAGAUCUGCAAAAUACCCCUUCUAAGUCAUCUAGUUUAUCCUCCAACCCCCAUAAGAUAUGCAACGAUACAUAAGCAAUUCCUAAUGCGAGGUUGCCAGGCUUGCCUUCCUGGGCCUCCACAUGUAAAAAGAAUCAAGGUAAUUCACUACGGUUUGCUGGGCAAAAAAUGUUUUUAUAACACACAAAACAUGCUAUUCUGUAUAAAAAAAUAAAAAUAAAAUCAAGUCUUUGUACAAAAAUCAAACCACUAGAACUGGCAAAUUAAUAGUGGGUCUCUUUCUCCCCCGCGGCCGGGAGCUCAGGGCACCCUCAGCGCACAGGACAGUGAAUGUGAAUGCCGUUCUGUUUUCCCAGCAGACACUUGUCACGCUGCAGACCACACAAUGGGCAGGCAACGAGGGAUUCCGGGAAGAAUCCACUUUUAACCUUGUUCCACUACUGAGAAAUGGGCAGAAGGAGAACUUGUUUCAAAUUCACUACACAAUACCCAUAGGAGACAGAGCCAGAAGUUGUUCUGCACUCUGCCAAAACCGGUCUGCUUUUUAAAGUGUUCUGGUGGUUACAACACCGUGCCUUUUAGUUUCUAGCUGCAGUAAAGGUUAACAAAAAUUUAAAUGGUUGAGUAACAGGUUCAAAAAAAAAAAAAAAAAAAAAAAAA